ensembl:rRNA 5S_rRNA 5S ribosomal RNA
GUCUCCGGCCCGUAUCAGCCUGAAGGAGCCCGAUCUCGUCUGAUCUCGGAAUCUAAGCAGGGUCGGGCCUGGUUAGUAUCUUGGAUGGGAGACCACCUGGGAAUCCCGGGUGCUCGAGGCU